UACGUAGGGUGCGAGCGUUGUCCGGAAUUAUUGGGCGUAAAGAGCUUGUAGGCGGUCUGUCGCGUCUGCUGUGAAAAUCCGGGGCUCAACCCCGGACUUGCAGUGGGUACGGGCAGACUAGAGUGUGGUAGGGGAGACUGGAAUUCCUGGUGUAGAGGUGAAAUGCGCAGAUAUCAGGAGGAACACCGGUGGCGAAGGCGGGUCUCUGGGCCGAUACUGACGCUGAGGAGCGAAAGCGUGGGGAGCGAACAGG
rnacentral:rRNA from 1 species